rnacentral:rRNA from 1 species
AUUGAACGCUGGCGGAAUGCUUUCCCCUUCAAGUUCGACCGCCACCCCGGGGCCACCCCUGGUGGCGGUUGGCAAACGGUUGGUUAAUACAUCGAAACUUGCCCGUUCGUGGGGGUUAACUUAGCGAAAGUUACCCUAAUCCCCCAUCCGAUCUGAGGUGAAAACCGGGGAACCUUCGGGCCUCGCCCAUUCGGACCGCCCGAUGUCAGAUUAGGUAGUUGGUGGGGUAAAGGCCUACCAAGCCGACGAUCUGUAGCUGGUCUGAGAGGACGACCAGCCACACUGGGACUGAGACACGGCCCAGACUCCUACGGGAGGCAGCAGUGGGGAAUUUUGGACAAUGGGCGCAAGCCUGAUCCAGCCAUUCCGCGUGCAGGACGAAGGCCUUCGGGUUGUAAACUGCUUUUGUAUGGAACGAAAAGGCUCUGGCUAAUACCUGGGGCUCAUGACGGUACCGUAAGAAUAAGCACCGGCUAACUACGUG